rnacentral:tRNA from 1 species
GGUGGUAGCUCAGUGGUAGAGAGCUUGCCUAGCAAACAUGAGGCGCUGGGUUCAAUCCUCAACACCA